AUUGAACGCUGGCGGCAGGCCUAACACAUGCAAGUCGAGCGGAUGACGGGAGCUUGCUCCUUGAUUCAGCGGCGGACGGGUGAGUAAUGCCUAGGAAUCUGCCUGGUAGUGGGGGACAACGUUUCGAAAGGGACGCUAAUACCGCAUACGUCCUACGGGAGAAAGCAGGGGACCUUCGGGCCUUGCGCUAUCAGAUGAGCCUAGGUCGGAUUAGCUAGUUGGUGAGGUAAUGGCUCACCAAGGCGACGAUCCGUAACUGGUCUGAGAGGAUGAUCAGUCACACUGGAACUGAGACACGGUCCAGACUCCUACGGGAGGCAGCAGUGGGGAAUAUUGGACAAUGGGCGAAAGCCUGAUCCAGCCAUGCCGCGUGUGUGAAGAAGGUCUUCGGAUUGUAAAGCACUUUAAGUUGGGGGGAAGGGCAGUAAGUUAAUACCUUGCUGUUUUGACGUUACCGACAGAAUAAGCACCGGCUAACUCUGUGCCAGCAGCCGCAGUAACAC
rnacentral:rRNA from 1 species